CCGGCCAAAAAAAACAGCGCAAAGGCUGUGAUCAUGGCAGCACAAGAACAAGCCCUAAGCACCAGAUCCAUAGAGUCAGGAGUCUACCACAGAAGACAGAACCCAAGUUACAGGCUGUGCAAAUGUGCCUCAGAGACAGUCCAGCAC